rnacentral:rRNA from 1 species
UACGGGGGGGGGCAAGCGUUGUUCGGAAUUACUGGGCGUAAAGGGCUCGUAGGUGGCCAACUAAGUCAGACGUGAAACCCUCGGCUUAACCGGGGAACUGCGUUUGAUACGGAUGGGCUAGAGUUCGGGAGAGGAGAGUGGAAUUCCCAGUGUAGAGGUGAAAUUCGUAGAUAUUGGGAAGAACACCGAUGGCGAAGGCAGCCAUCUGGACCGACACUGACGCUGAGGCGCGAAAGCGUGGGGAGCAAACAGG